GGAGAGGUGACCGAGUCGGUCGAAGGUGCUCGCCUGCUAAGCGAGUGUACAUCGAAAGAUGUACCCCGGGUUCGAAUCCCGGCCUCUCCGCCA
rnacentral:tRNA from 1 species